rnacentral:rRNA from 1 species
CCCACGGGGGGCUGCAGUGGGGAAUAUUGGACAAUGGGGGGAACCCUGAUCCAGCCAUGCCGCGUGUGUGAAGAAGGCCCUCGGGUUGUAAAGCACUUUCAGUGAGGAAGAACGCCUGGUGGUUAAUACCCAUCAGGAAAGACAUCACUCACAGAAGAAGCACCGGCUAACUCCGUGCCAGCAGCCGCGGUAAUACGGAGGGUGCGAGCGUUAAUCGGAAUUACUGGGCGUAAGGCGCGCGUAGGUGGCUUGAUAAGCCGGUUGUGAAAGCCCCGGGCUCAACCUGGGAACGGCAUCCGGAACUGUCAAGCUAGAGUGCAGGAGAGGAAGGUAGAAUUCCCGGUGUAGCGGUGAAAUGCGUAGAGAUCGGGAGGAAUACCAGUGGCGAAGGCGGCCUUCUGGACUGACACUGACACUGAGGUGCGAAAGCGUGGGUAGCAAACAGGAUUAGAUACCCGGGUAGUC